UACGUAGGGGGCAAGCGUUGUCCGGAUUUAUUGGGCGUAAAGAGCGUGUAGGCGGCCAGACAGGUCCGUUGUGAAAACUUGAGGCUCAACCUCGAGACGCCGAUGGAAACCGUCUGGCUAGAGUCCGGAAGAGGAGAGUGGAAUUCCGAGUGUAGAGGUGAAAUUCGUAGAUAUUCGGAGGAACACCAGUGGCGAAGGCGGCUCACUGGUCCGGUACUGACGCUGAGGUGCGAAAGCGUGGGGAGCAAACAGG
rnacentral:rRNA from 1 species